rnacentral:lncRNA from 1 species
GUCCCAUCUGUGUCUGCAGGAGUCACCCUGAAGUUGACAGGAAUAUGAGUCAAAUGGCAGAUUCGCUUUGCCCCUGCGUUUUCACAGAAGUUUGCAAACAUCUGCAGGAUUUUAUUCAAUCUACUUGCAGCAUCUUCUCCCCUCCUCAAGCAUAUCACAAUUUCAGUGGUAAUGCUCAAUCCAAUAGAGGCUCACUACUCUUAUGCUUUGGGCCCAUUAUUGAGUCAAGUAAGGGUUACUUGAACACAAGCACUGCGCCACUGCAGCAGCGACCUGAUCAAGGAGACGGCUACUGAGCACACAGCGUGGAUACACUGGACGAAGGGCUGACUCACGUGCCGGGCAGGACGGAGUAGGAUGGUGCAAGAUUUCACCAUGCUACUCAGAACAACGUGCAAUUUAAAACUUAUGAAGUGC